UGUGUUCAUUUCUUACCCGGAAUAUCUCACCCACACAUUUCUCUUCCUCACCAUCGCUCUCUCUCUCUGCAUCUAUCUAUCUAUUACCUCUAUGUCUCUAUAUUACUUGAUUUUCCAGAUUUGUGAUGCAAUCAUUGUUCAAGCAUCACAAAUUUGGCAAUCAUACUACCAUAAAUCUAAGCUAACAGUGAAGACGAAGGCUGCUACCAUCAUCGUUUACUUGGGUGGGGAUUAAAUGUGUUGAUUGUUGUUGAUGGUGGAUUU